CUAACGUCCGUCGUGAAGAGGGAAACAACCCAGACCGCCAGCUAAGGUCCCAAAGUCAUGGUUAAGUGGGAAACGAUGUGGGAAGGCCCAGACAGCCAGGAUGUUGGCUUAGAAGCAGCCAUCAUUUAAAGAAAGCGUAAUAGCUCACUGGUCGAGUCGGCCUGCGCGGAAGAUGUAACGGGGCUAAACCAUGCACCGAAGCUGCGGCAGCGAACGUAUCACUUAAAGCGAUUCAGCGGGUUACGAUUGACGGAGCGAAGCGACGUCAAAGCGUAUACAAAGUCGAGUCGGUUUAAGGAUACGUUCGUUGGGUAGGGGAGCGUUCUGUAAGCCUGUGAAGGUGGCCUGUGAGGGUUGCUGGAGGUAUCAGAAGUGCGAAUGCUGACAUAAGUAACGAUAAAGCGGGUGAAAAGCCCGCUCGCCGGAAGACCAAGGGUUCCUGUCCAACGUUAAUCGGGGCAGGGUGAGUCGACCCCUAAGGCGAGGCCGAAAGGCGUAGUCGAUGGGAAACGGGUUAAUAUUCCCGUACUUGGUGUUACUGCGAAGGGGGGACGGAGAAGGCUAUGUUGGCCGGGCGACGGUUGUCCCGGUUUAAGCGUGUAGGUGUGUGUUCCAGGUAAAUCCGGUUCACUUUAACACUGAGGCGUGACGACGAGGCACUACGGUGCUGAAGCAACAAAUGCCCUGCUUCCAGGAAAAGCCUCUAAGCAUCAGGUAACAUCAAAUCGUACCCCAAACCGACACAGGUGGUCAGGUAGAGAAUACCAAGGCGCUUGAGAGAACUCGGGUGAAGGAACUAGGCAAAAUGGUGCCGUAACUUCGGGAGAAGGCACGCUGACACGUAGGUGAAGUGAUUUACUCACGGAGCUGAAGUCAGUCGAAGAUACCAGCUGGCUGCAACUGUUUAUUAAAAACACAGCACUGUGCAAACACGAAAGUGGACGUAUACGGUGUGACGCCUGCCCGGUGCCGGAAGGUUAAUUGAUGGGGUCAGCGCAAGCGAAGCUCCUGAUCGAAGCCCCGGUAAACGGCGGCCGUAACUAUAACGGUCCUAAGGUAGCGAAAUUCCUUGUCGGGUAAGUUCCGACCUGCACGAAUGGCGUAAUGAUGGCCAGGCUGUCUCCACCCGAGACUCAGUGAAAUUGAACUCGCUGUGAAGAUGCAGUGUACCCGCGGCAAGACGGAAAGACCCCGUGAACCUUUACUAUAGCUUGACACUGAACAUUGAGCCUUGAUGUGUAGGAUAGGUGGGAGGCUUUGAAGUGUGGACGCCAGUCUGCAUGGAGCCGACCUUGAAAUACCACCCUUUAAUGUUUGAUGUUCUAACGUGGACCCGUAAUCCGGGUUGCGGACAGUGUCUGGUGGGUAGUUUGACUGGGGCGGUCUCCUCCUAAAGAGUAACGGAGGAGCACGAAGGUUGGCUAAUCCUGGUCGGACAUCAGGAGGUUAGUGCAAUGGCAUAAGCCAGCUUGACUGCGAGCGUGACGGCGCGAGCAGGUGCGAAAGCAGGUCAUAGUGAUCCGGUGGUUCUGAAUGGAAGGGCCAUCGCUCAACGGAUAAAAGGUACUCCGGGGAUAACAGGCUGAUACCGCCCAAGAGUUCAUAUCGACGGCGGUGUUUGGCACCUCGAUGUCGGCUCAUCACAUCCUGGGGCUGAAGUAGGUCCCAAGGGUAUGGCUGUUCGCCAUUUAAAGUGGUACGCGAGCUGGGUUUAGAACGUCGUGAGACAGUUCGGUCCCUAUCUGCCGUGGGCGCUGGAGAACUGAGGGGGGCUGCUCCUAGUACGAGAGGACCGGAGUGGACGCAUCACUGGUGUUCGGGUUGUCAUGCCAAUGGCACUGCCCGGUAGCUAAAUGCGGAAGAGAUAAGUGCUGAAAGCAUCUAAGCACGAAACUUGCCCCGAGAUGAGUUCUCCCUGAGACUUAGAGUCUCCUGAAGGAACGUUGAAGACGACGACGUUGAUAGGCCGGGUGUGUAAGCGCAGCGAUGCGUUGAGCUAACCGGUACUAAUGAACCGUGAGGCUUAACCUUACAACGCCGAAG
rnacentral:rRNA from 1 species